rnacentral:rRNA from 1 species
ACCAUCGGGGUUUCCGUAGGUGACCUGCGGAGGUCAUUACUGAACUGUCGACACGAGUUGUUGCUGGUCCUCAAAUGGGGGCAUGUGCACACUCUGUUUACACACCCAUUCACACCUGUGCACCCUUGGUAGUUCUGUGGUGUGGGGGACCCCGUCUUCCCACUGUGGUUCUACUUCUUUACACACACACACAGUUAUAAAGUCUCAUGGAAUGUUUGUCGCGUUUAACGCAAUACAAUACAACUUUCAGCAACGGAUCUCUUGGCUCUCGCAUCGAUGAAGAACGCAGCGAAAUGCGAUAAGUAAUGUGAAUUGCAGAAUUCAGUGAAUCAUCGAAUCUUUGAACGCACCUUGCGCCCUUUGGCUAUUCCGAAGGGCAUGCCUGUUUGAGUAUCAUGAACACCUCAACUCUCAUGGUUUGCCAUGAUGAGCUUGGACUUUGGGGGUCUUGCUGGCCUAUGGUCGGCUCCUCUCAAAUGAAUCAGCUUACCAGUGUUUGGUGGCGUCACAGGUGUGAUAACUAUCUACGCUUGUGGCUUUCCAUCAGGUAACCUUCAGCGAUGGAGGUUUGCUGGGGCUCCUAAAUGGCUCUUCUCCACGAAGAACGCUUUUUUGAACCGUUGAACCUCAAUUCAGGAAGAAUAACCGGCUAACUUAAACAUAUUCAUAAACGGGAAGGAA